UACAGAGGUGGCAAGCGUUGUUCGGAAUUACUGGGCGUAAAGGGCGCGUAGGCGGUUCGUUAAGUCCUGUGUGAAAUCCCCCGGCUCAACUGGGGAACUGCACAGGAAACUAGCGGGCUUGAGUUCGGGAGAGGGAAGCGGAAUUCCGGGUGUAGCGGUGAAAUGCGUAGAUAUCCGGAGGAACACCGGUGGCGAAGGCGGCUUCCUGGACCGACACUGACGCUGAGGCGCGAAAGCUAGGGGAGCAAACAGG
rnacentral:rRNA from 1 species